AACGAAAGCUGGCGGCAUGCCUAACACAUGCAAGUCGAACGAGAUCUUCGGGUCUAGUGGCGCACGGGUGCGUAACGCGUGGGAAUCUGCCCUUUGGUUCGGAAUAACAGUUGGCAACGACUGCUAAUACCGGAUGAUGACGAAAGUCCAAAGAUUUAUCGCCAGAGGAUGGGCCCGCGUAGGAUUAGCUAGUUGGUGUGGUAAAGGCGCACCAAGGCGACGAUCCUUAGCUGGGCUGAGAGGAUGAUCAGCCACACUGGGACUGAGACACGGCCCAGACUCCUACGGGAGGAAGCAUAGGGGAAUAUUGGACAAUGGGCGAAAGACUGAUACACCAAUGCCGCGUGAGUGAUGAAGACCUUAGGGUUGUAAAGCUCGUUUACCCGGGAGGAUAAUGACAGGACCGGGAGAAUAAGCUCCGGCUAACUCCGUGCCAGCCGCCGCCGUAA
rnacentral:rRNA from 1 species